GAGAGGGUGAGCGGGCGCACUGGGAGUGAGACACGGCCCACACUCUUACGGGAGGCAGCAGUAGGGAAUCUUCUGCAAUAGACGGAAGUCUGACGGAGCAACCCCGCGUGAGUGGGGAAGGCCUUCGGGUCGUAAAGCUCUGUUGUUUGUGAAGAAGGGGUAGGCCAGGAAAUGGGCCGACAUUGACGGUAGAGAACCAGAAAGCCCCGGCUAACUACGUGCCAGCAGCCGCGGUAACAAGUAGGGGGCAAGCGUUGUCCGGAAUGAUUAGGCGUAAAGGGCGGGCAGGCGGCCUCUUAAGUUUGAUGUGAAAGCCCACGGCUCAACCGCGGAGGGACAUUGGAAACUGGGGGGCUUGAGUGCAGGAGAGGGGAGUGGAAUUCCACGUGUAGCGGUGAAAUGCGUAGAGAUGUGGAGGAACACCAGUGGCGAAGGCGGCUCUCUGGCCUGUGACUGACGCUGAGGCGCGAAAGCGUGGGGAGCGAACAGGAUUAGAUACCCUGGUAGUCCACGCCGU
rnacentral:rRNA from 1 species